CUGAACCCACACCUCUGUGGGUUUCUGUGCAGCAAGGGCAAAGUUGCACCCUGUGAUCUCUUAUCCUAAUCCCUUAGAAACAACAGAAUCCAUGUGGAUCACAGGCUGCAAUCAGCCAUGCAGUGACCCCCAGGCUUCAUUAGCAUCAAGCUGCAGCACAGCAGCUGUUCUUUGUUCUCCCUCACCUGUGGUGUUUUCAUUUCUAGUAGCUAAAAGCAACGAGGUGGUUUAGGGACCAACUGAGGUGGAUACAUUUCAGGAUUUGGAGCCAGCUAUAAGCUCUGAUCUCCAUCCAUGACUCCAUCAAGUCAGAGCAGCCUGGAGUUUUGGAGCAGAAGGUUAUCAGGAUGAAGUCUGCUUCUCAUACCAUUGUGAAUGAAGUUGGUGCCUGUCUGGAUGCACAGCCACAAAUCAUUACAGAGGCAAGCAGUUAUGGUCAGAGAAACCAGAGAGGAAUUUGUUACAGUUAGCUGAAGGUCCAUAAGCUACGGAAUUGAGCCCGAAGGCAAGAGCAGCUUUUCAGAGUCUGUGCUGCCAUCUAGUGUUAUUGUAUAUAUAGCACACCGGUUAACGUCUGAGCCCCAGCUCACUGUAGAGCUUUCUUCCUGCACGUCUCCCAGCUGAAUGUUUAACUCUAAGAUAGAGGAGAUUUUAGUUAAACUUCCUAAUCCACUAAUGCUGAUGACCUCUGAAAUUUUUGACCACCUAAAGGCUGUGUAUACGGAUAGAAGAGAGACUUCUGCUACAGUAUUUCU
rnacentral:lncRNA from 1 species